rnacentral:rRNA from 1 species
CUACCUGAUCCGAGGUCAACCUUUGGAAAAUUGGGGGGUUUUACGGCAAGAGUCCCUCCGGAUCCCAGUGCGAGACGAAAUGUUACUACGCAAAGGAGGCUCCGGGAGGGUCCGCCACUACCUUUGAGGGCCUACGUCGACCGUAGAGCCCCAACACCAAGCAGAGCUUGAGGGUUGAAAUGACGCUCGAACAGGCAUGCCCGCCAGAAUGCUGGCGGGCGCAAUGUGCGUUCAAAGAUUCGAUGAUUCACUGAAUUCUGCAAUUCACAUUACUUAUCGCAUUUCGCUGCGUUCUUCAUCGAUGCCAGAACCAAGAGAUCCGUUGUUAAAAGUUUUGAUUAUUUUGCUUAUGCCACUCAGAAGAAACGUCGUUACAAUAGAGUUUGGUUAUCCUCCGGCGGGCGCCGGGUCCGGUCCCGCGGGGGGUCCGGUCCGGGCCGGGAGGCGUCCUUUUCAGGGGACGGCCUACCCGCCGAAGCAACAGUUGUAGGUAUGUUCACAAAGGGUUAUAGAGCGGUAACUCAGUAAUGAUCCCUCCGCAGGUUCACCUACGGAA